ACAUUAGUGCCUUGGACCCUGCACUCACGAGAUUCCCUGAGAUCUCAGAAGUUAAGCAAGGCUGGGCCUGGUCAGUGCUGGGAUGGGAGACCCCUCAGGAAAACCAGGUUGUAAGUGGU
rnacentral:rRNA from 1 species